rnacentral:rRNA from 1 species
ACGCUCGACACCUACGGGAGACAGCAGUCGGGAAUAUUGCGCAAUGGAGGAAACUCUGACGCAGUGACGCCGCGUGCAGGAAGAAGGUUUUCGGAUUGUAAACUGCUUUAGACAGGGAAGAACAAAUGACAGUACCUGUAGAAUAAGCUCCGGCUAACUACGUGCCAGCAGCCGCGGUAAUCUGAGCGGGCUGGCAAGGC